UGGGGAAUAUUGGACAAUGGGCGAAAGCCUGAUCCAGCCAUGCCGCGUGUGUGAAGAAGGUCUUCGGAUUGUAAAGCACUUUAAGUUGGGAGGAAGGGCAGUAAGCGAAUACCUUGCUGUUUUGACGUUACCGACAGAAUAAGCACCGGCUAACUCUGUGCCAGCAGCCGCGGUAAUACAGAGGGUGCAAGCGUUAAUCGGAAUUACUGGGCGUAAAGCGCGCGUAGGUGGUUCGUUAAGUUGAAUGUGAAAGCCCCGGGCUCAACCUGGGAACUGCAUCCAAAACUGGCGAGCUAGAGUAGGGCAGAGGGUGGUGGAAUUUCCUGUGUAGCGGUGAAAUGCGUAGCUAUAGGAAGGAACACCAGUGGCGAAGGCGACCACCUGGGCUCAUACUGACACUGAGGUGCGAAAGCGUGGGGAGCAAACAGG
rnacentral:rRNA from 1 species